UACGAAGGGGGCUAGCGUUGUUCGGAUUUACUGGGCGUAAAGCGCACGUAGGCGGCCAACUAAGUCGGAUGUGAAAUCCCCAGGCUUAACCUGGGAACUGCAUCCGAUACUGGAUGGCUUGAAUCCGGGAGAGGGAUGCGGAAUUCCAGGUGUAGCGGUGAAAUGCGUAGAUAUCUGGAGGAACACCGGUGGCGAAGGCGGCAUCCUGGACCGGCAUUGACGCUGAGGAGCGAAAGCCAGGGGAGCAAAACGGGG
rnacentral:rRNA from 1 species